rnacentral:lncRNA from 1 species
GCAAAGAUGCUGGCUGCAGCAGUGGAGGCACAGCCAGGGCUGCACGCUUAGCAGAGCCAACGGGAGCCCUGCCCCCUUUCAAGUUGGUGGGGCAGGAGCUCUGCAUUCCUGGGUGCAACUGUAGCCACCCAGCUGUGGCUGCAGACUCAGGCAUCCCUGUGCUCUCAGGGGCCUGGGAAGACCCCUGGUGCUUCUGCAGGCUUGGAAGUACCUGUUCCCACUGCCUGGCCUCUCCCCGCUCCUGGCACCUGCUCCAGUUUCGGAGCAAAGUUGUGGCCAAGCCUGGGUGCGGUCAUGACCUGGCUGGGUGUUCAGGUGCUUGGGGUGGCACUGACAUGCCAGCCUCCUGCUACCUCGGCCCCUUCUGGACUUUGGGUGUUGACGAUCAUGGAAGGGAGGCUGAAGUGGGGCUAAGGGCAGCCUGGCAUGAGCCUGCAGGUGCCCCUCAGCAUGAACGGCCUGGGUGCUCUGAAUGGUGGCCAGAAGCAGAAAGGCUCCUGGGUGGAAAGGGGCAGGUCCCCAGUGAAACCCCACCUUCAAGCCAGGGAUGACCUGAAGUCUGGGGGCCAGGCUGCCAGUUCCGUGGACUGGAAUGAGAACUUAACGGU